CCGUGUGUGAACUGUUUGAGUACACGUCUGGAGCACAGAGCAAAAUAUGUCUCUGUCCCAAACAUGGAGCUCACUGCGUGUAAACUAUAUAUAUUUUAAUGUAUUUUUAAAAUGUAUUAGACCAUUUAAAGUUCUGUAUGGGACACCCCCCCCCCCAAUACAGGGGAAUAAAUCACAUGAAGAAGAAACCAAAGAGAAACGAGUGUGAAGAUAUUUAGGAACAUUGGGUCUCAUUCACAAAACAUGCGUACGAUCACAUUUUGAUCGUAAACUGCAUGUAAGAACGUUUCUGAGAACAUUUCGACAUUCAUCAUUUUAGCUGUAUUUGUUCGUGGCUCUUUCCUUAUUCAUAUCACAUGAAUGGGAUUGCGCAUUGAAAAUUUACUAACAGCCAGCAUUCAGUAUUGUUUUUUAGUAGGAACGUUAUUAAGAACAAAAGUAAAAAUAAUUUUAGAAACGUUCUGUGAAUGAGGCCCAUUGUGUUUCCAAAAAAAGUGAUUAAUAAGACCUGCCACGUAGCCAUUUACCCCUUUGGUGGGAGGGAAAGUCAAAAAUAACUCAUUAACACUCAUUAACAACAAUAAACAGCGUGCAAGGGCCUUCUGACAAUUACGAUAUAGUUCUGACUGGCAGUAUCGUAUAAUGGAUAAGGAGCUGGUCUUGUAACCUAAUGGUUCGAUUCCUGAGUGGACCACGUUGCACCCUUGAGCAAGGUACUUAGCCUGCAUUGCUUCAGUAUAUAUAUCCAGCUGUAUAAAUGGAUGCAGUGUAAAUGCUCUAUAAAAGUUGUGUAAGUUGCUUGUGUCAUGGUUCUGUAUUCCUGUGUUCCUGUGUUUCCUUGUUGGGCCGACAGAUGGCGGCACUUCGGUUUUGUGUCCUGUUUAAUUGUAUUAUUAUUUUCAAUUAUCCAAUUAGUGUUUGCUGGUUGUCUCAUUUUCCCUUCCCUCUCUGUGGCCUGAUUGUUCAUGGUGCCCUCCUGUGUCUCGUCAGUGUCUGUUCUAUUUAAGUUUCCCUCUUCCUUGACUCAGGUGCUGGAUCCUUGUGGUUAUGUCUGGUUGUUUUGUGCUCCCCUACCCAAGUACCUGCUCCAAGUGUUCCUGUGUUUUGAAGUUUUCCUUUGUUUGUUGAAGGUCGUCCUGGGAGGCUUUGUGUUCCCUUUUGUUCCCGUGUGAGAGGAAAGGAGAUGCAAGACUUUGGCAGAACACUACAUUUCAGCCUGAGAAACAGAGUGACUAAACUCAUUUCUUUUUAUAGUUUACAUGGUCAAAAUACUAUUAUUACUAUUUUACUUUUAUUUGACUCUCUAAUUGUAGCUGUAUUAUAUUCUAUGCAUUACUUGUACUGUUACACUGCUUGUUUUUUGCAAGUUUCUUGUUUGCUUUGGCAAUAUUUACCACGUGCAUUUCCUGCCAAUGAAGCACAUUGAAAAGAA